GUGAUUUUAGUUUAAAUAAAAUAAUGAUUUGUCUAGUCAUAGNNNAUUAAUUGAUAAUCAAGUCACU
rnacentral:tRNA from 1 species